rnacentral:rRNA from 1 species
UACGGGGGGGGCAAGCGUUGUUCGGAAUUACUGGGCGUAAAGGGCUCGCAGGCGGCCAACUAAGUCGGAUGUGAAAUCCCCAGGCUUAACCUGGGAACUGCAUCCGAUACUGGAUGGCUUGAAUCCGGGAGAGGGAUGCAGAAUUCCUGGUGUAGCGGUGAAAUGCGUAGAUAUCUGGAGGAAUACCAGAGGCGAAGGCGGCUACCUGGACAAUUGCUGACGCUCAGGCACGAAAGCGUGGGGAGCAAAAGGG